GACGAACGCUGGCGGCGUGCUUAACACAUGCAAGUCGAACGAAGUGGCGAACGGGUGAGUAAUACGUGGGUAACCUGCCCUCCUUUUUGGGAUAAGCCUUGGAAACAUGGUCUAAUACCGAAUUAAGGGGGAUGGGCUCGCGGCCUAUCAGCUUGUUGGUGGGGUGAUGGCCUACCAAGGCGGUGACGGGUAGCCGGCCUGAGAGGGUGACCGGCCACAUUGGGACGGAGAUACGGCCCAGACUCCUACGGGAGGCAGCAGUGGGGGAUAUUGGACAAUGGGCGAAAGCCUGAUGCAGAGACGCCGCGUGGGGGAGGAAGGCUUUCGGGUUGUAAAGUACUUUCAGCGGGGAGGCGUUACCCGCAGAAGAAGCACCGGCUAACUCCGUGCCAGCAGCCGCGGUAAUAC
rnacentral:rRNA from 1 species